rnacentral:rRNA from 1 species
UCGGGAAUUUUGCACAAUGGCCGAAAGGCUGAUGCAGCAACGCCGCGUGAGCGAAGAAGGCCUUCGGGUUGUAAAGCUCUGUUGCCUGCGAAGAAGGGCCCUGUCAGGAAAUGGGCGGGGUUUGACGGUAGCAGGCGAGGAAGCCCCGGCAAACUACGUGCCAGCAGCCGCGGUAAUACGUAGGGGGCGAGCGUUGUCCGGAAUUACUGGGCGUAAAGGGCGUGUAGGCGGCCUGUUAAGUCAGGGGUGAAAGACCGGGGCUCAACCCCGGGGGUGCCUCUGAAACUGGCGGGCUUGAGUGCUCUAGAGGGCAGUGGAAUUCCCGGUGUAGCAGUGUAAUGCGUAGAGAUCGGGAGGAACACCAGUGGCGAAGGCGGCUGCCUGGGGAGUCACUGACGCUGAGGCGCGAAAGCUAGGGGAGCAAACAGG